rnacentral:hammerhead_ribozyme from 1 species
AUCCAGAUGAUGAGUCCAAAAAUGGGACGAAAUGGGCAUCCUGGAU